GACGAACGCUGGCGGCGUGCUUAACACGUGCAGGUCGAACGGAAAGGCCCUGCUUUUGUGGGGUGCUCGAGUGGCGAACGGGUGAGUAACACGUGAGUAACCUGCCCUUGACUUUGGGAUAACUUCAGGAAACUGGGGCUAAUACCGGAUAGGAGCUCCUGCUGCAUGGUGGGGGUUGGAAAGUUUCGGCGGUUGGGGAUGGACUCGCGGCUUAUCAGCUUGUUGGUGGGGUAGUGGCUUACCAAGGCUUUGACGGGUAGCCGGCCUGAGAGGGUGACCGGCCACAUUGGGACUGAGAUACGGCCCAGACUCCUACGGGAGGCAGCAGUGGGGAAUAUUGCACAAUGGGCGGAAGCCUGAUGCAGCAACGCCGCGUGCGGGAUGACGGCCUUCGGGUUGUAAACCGCUUUCGCCUGUGACGAAGCGUGAGUGACGGUAAUGGGUAAAGAAGCACCGGCUAACUACGUG
rnacentral:rRNA from 1 species